rnacentral:rRNA from 1 species
AGACAUAAAAGGUGGCUUCGGCUACCACUUACAGAUGGACCCGCGGCGCAUUAGCUAGUUGGUGAGGUAACGGCUCACCAAGGCGACGAUGCGUAGCCGACCUGAGAGGGUGAUCGGCCACACUGGGACUGAGACACGGCCCAGACUCCUACGGGAGGCAGCAGUAGGGAAUCUUCCGCAAUGGACGAAAGUCUGACGGAGCAACGCCGCGUGAGUGAUGAAGGUUUUCGGAUCGUAAAGCUCUGUUGUUAGGGAAGAACAAGUGCCGUUCAAAUAGGGCGGCACCUUGACGGUACCUAACCAGAAAGCCACGGCUAACUACGUGCCAGCAGCCGCGGUAAUACGUAGGUGGCAAGCGUUGUCCGGAAUUAUUGGGCGUAAAGGGCUCGCAGGCGGUUUCUUAAGUCUGAUGUGAAAGCCCCCGGCUCAACCGGGGAGGGUCAUUGGAAACUGGGGAACUUGAGUGCAGAAGAGGAGAGUGGAAUUCCACGUGUAGCGGUGAAAUGCGUAGAGAUGUGGAGGAACACCAGUGGCGAAGGCGACUCUCUGGUCUGUAACUGACGCUGAGGAGCGAAAGCGUGGGGAGCGAACAGGAUUAGA